rnacentral:rRNA from 1 species
GAUGAACGCUGGCGGCGUGCCUAAUACAUGCAAGUCGAGCGAACGGACGAGAAGCUUGCUUCUCUGAUGUUAGCGGCGGACGGGUGAGUAACACGUGGAUAACCUACCUAUAAGACUGGGAUAACUUCGGGAAACCGGAGCUAAUACCGGAUAAUAUUUUGAACCGCAUGGUUCAAAAGUGAAAGACGGUCUUGCUGUCACUUAUAGAUGGAUCCGCGCUGCAUUAGCUAGUUGGUAAGGUAACGGCUUACCAAGGCAACGAUGCAUAGCCGACCUGAGAGGGUGGUCGGUCACACUGGAACUGAGACAAGGUCCCGACUCCUAAGGGAGGCAGCAGUAGGGAAUCUUCCGCAAUGGGCGAAAGCCUGACGGAGCAAAGCCGCGUGAGUGAUGAAGGUCUUCGGAUCGUAAAACUCUGUUAUUAGGGAAGAACAUAUGUGUAAGUAACUGUGCACCUCUUGACGGUACCUAAUCCGAAAGCCACGGCUAACUACGUG